rnacentral:rRNA from 1 species
AUGAAUUGUUUGAGUUGGAACUGUCGAGGGCUUGGGAACUCUGAGACAGUUUGGGAGCUUCGCAAGGUGGUGAAGCAAGAAGGUCCCUCCCUUCUGUUCGUUAUGGAAACAAAGAUUCAAUGGAAACGUGUUGAAAGUCUGAAGAGCUUAUUUGUUUUUUCUGGUUGUUUUUCUGUGGAUAGCAAUGGCCUUAGUGGAGGCAUUGGGCUGUACUGGACUGACAGCGUGCAAGUUGAACUUAAGAAUUACAGUAAGGCUCAUAUAGAUGUGGUAGUCAAGGGGAAUGAUCAAACCGAACCUUGGCGUUUCACAGGUUUUUACGGUGAACCCCGAGUUGAGAAUAGACAUCACAGUUGGGAGUUUAUGCGUACGUUGCAUGGAGUUCCGCAUCACGAGUGA